AUUGAACGCUGGCGGCAGGCUUAACACAUGCAAGUCGAGCGGGGGAAGGUAGCUUGCUACCGGACCUAGCGGCGGACGGGUGAGUAAUGCUUAGGAAUCUGCCUAUUAGUGGGGGACAACAUCUCGAAAGGGAUGCUAAUACCGCAUACGUCCUACGGGAGAAAGCAGGGGAUCUUCGGACCUUGCGCUAAUAGAUGAGCCUAAGUCGGAUUAGCUAGUUGGUGGGGUAAAGGCCUACCAAGGCGACGAUCUGUAGCGGGUCUGAGAGGAUGAUCCGCCACACUGGGACUGAGACACGGCCCAGACUCCUACGGGAGGCAGCAGUGGGGAAUAUUGGACAAUGGGGGGAACCCUGAUCCAGCCAUGCCGCGUGUGUGAAGAAGGCCCUAUGGUUGUAAAGCACUUUAAGCGAGGAGGAGGCUACUUUAGUUAAUACCUAGAGAUAGUGGACGUUACUCGCAGAAUAAGCACCGGCUAACUCUGUGCCAGCAGCCGCGGUAAUACAGAGGGUGCGAGCGUUAAUCGGAUUUACUGGGCGUAAAGCGUGCGUAGGCGGCUUAUUAAGUCGGAUGUGAAAUCCCCGAGCUUAACUUGGGAAUUGCAUU
rnacentral:rRNA from 1 species